CCUACGGGAGGCAGCAGUAGGGAAUCUUCCGCAAUGGACGAAAGUCUGACGGAGCAACGCCGCGUGAACGAUGAAGGCCUUCGGGUCGUAAAGUUCUGUUGUUAGGGAAGAACAAGUGUUAGUUGAAUAAGCUGGCACCUUGACGGUACCUAACCAGAAAGCCACGGCUAACUACGUGCCAGCAGCCGCGGUAAUACGUAGGUGGCAAGCGUUGUCCGGAAUUAUUGGGCGUAAAGCGCGCGCAGGCGGUUUCUUAAGUCUGAUGUGAAAGCCCCCGGCUCAACCGGGGAGGGUCAUUGGAAACUGGGAAACUUGAGUGCAGAAGAGGAAAGUGGAAUUCCAAGUGUAGCGGUGAAAUGCGUAGAGAUUUGGAGGAACACCAGUGGCGAAGGCGACUUUCUGGUCUGUAACUGACGCUGAGGCGCGAAAGCGUGGGGAGCAAACAGGAUUAGAUACCCUGGUAGUCCACGCUGUAAACGAUGAGUGCUAAGUGUUAGAGGGUUUCCGCCCUUUAGUGCUGAAGUUAACGCAUUAAGCACUCCGCCUGGGGAGUACGGUCGCAAGACUGAAACUUAAGGAAUUGACGG
rnacentral:rRNA from 1 species